ACCAGACUCCUACGGGAGGCAGCAGUGGGGGAUAUUGCACAAUGGGGGGAACCCUGAUGCAGCGACGCCGCGUGGGUGAAGAAGCGCCUCGGCGCGUAAAGCCCUGUCAGCAGGGAAGAAAAUGACGGUACCUGAAGAAGAAGCCCCGGCUAACUACGUGCCAGCAGCCGCGGUAAUACGUAGGGGGCAAGCGUUAUCCGGAUUUACUGGGUGUAAAGGGGGCGCAGACGGCGAUGCAAGCCAGGAGUGAAAGCCCGGGGCCCAACCCCGGGACUGCUCUUGGAACUGCGUGGCUGGAGUGCAGGAGGGGCAGGCGGAAUUCCUGGUGUAGCGGUGAAAUGCGUAGAUAUCAGGAGGAACACCGGUGGCGAAGGCGGCCUGCUGGACUGCAACUGACGUUGAGGCCCGAAAGCGUGGGGAGCAAACAGGAUUAGAUACCCCUGUACA
rnacentral:rRNA from 1 species